rnacentral:ncRNA from 1 species
GUGCUGUAUUAAAGGAGAGAAGGUUAGCACUCCUGUUGAUGAGAAUGGAUGAGGUCCUAGUUGCCAUCACAAUACACAUAAGGGUAUGGAUAAGGAAAUACUUUCUUUUGUCGGUCCCUUAGGAUCUU